AUCGUUCAUUUCUAUUUUUUAACUAUCUAACUCAAGAUAGAUGUUUUAUAGAGACGGAAGUAAGGAGUAAUCCUGAAGGAACGCGCC
rnacentral:ncRNA from 2 species